UACGUAGGGUGCAAGCGUUGUCCGGAAUUAUUGGGCGUAAAGAGCUCGUAGGCGGCUUGUCGCGUCGACUGUGAAAUCCCGCGGCUCAACUGCGGGUCUGCAGUCGAUACGGGCAGCUAGAGGUUCGGUGAGGGGAGACUGGAAUUCCUGGUGUAGCGGUGAAAUGCGCAGAUAUCAGGAGGAACACCGGUGGCGAAGGCGGCUCACUGGCGUCGUAUCUGACGCUCAGGCG
rnacentral:rRNA from 1 species